AUUGAACGCUGGCGGCAGGCCUAACACAUGCAAGUCGAACGAGUGGCGGACGGGUGAAUAAUGUCGGGGAAACUGCCCGAUGGAGGGGGAUAACUACUGGAACCGGUAGCUAAUACCGAAUACCAUCCUAUGUGCACAGAGGGGCUUAGCUAGUAGGUGGGGUAACGGCUCACCUAGGCGACGAUCCCUAGCUGGUCUGAGUGGAUGACCAGCCACACGGGAACUGAGACACGGUCCAGCCUCCUACGGUAGGCAGCAGUGGGGAAUAUUGCACAAUGGGCUCAAGCCUGAUGCAGCCAUGCCGCGUGUAUGAAGAAGGCCUUCGGUUUGUAAAGUACUUUCAGCGGGGAGGCGUUACUCGCAGAAGAAGCACCGGCUAACUCCGUGCCAGCAGCCGCGGUAAUAC
rnacentral:rRNA from 1 species